rnacentral:lncRNA from 1 species
UUUGAGAAAGUUUUCCGUUGGACACGACUGCCCCUUCUUGCACCUCUGCAAUCCUUCUCACCACUGAGACCUCUGCACUACUGCAGCCUUGAAAGCUUGUCUACAAACAGAUCCUAUCAACUCUAGAUAGACCAAGCCGAUACACGGCUUAAACUAAGAACAAGGAUAUUGAUUACCGACUAUCAAGUUUCCAGCAUAAUACAAUUUAUGAACAAUACAAAAGGGUUGCUGGAAAGAAACUCAAAAUCGCUAUUGAGUAGAACGUAUGAGACUAAUUAAAGCUUUUCCAAGUUCCGUCUUCCAAUAACCGAGCAGGAAAGAUAUAUAUAGUAGAGCUUCCAACGGCUAUGAGAGGGCUGAUUCCAUGAAAUCCUCAGUCACAAGAAAUCAGCACCAAAUCGAUAGAUAUAUUGUUUCCUUGAUAAGCUCAACCGAAAAGAUAUGAUAUCAAUCAUCUGAUCUGAAGGGAUACGAAAGAUAUGGUUUGUUAAAAAUAUACUAUAUUUAGAGCAUAUACCUUUUGAAGCUUCUAGUUCAAAUUUGAAUCAACUAAUCAGUUGACCAAAUUUCAUUCCCUGUCAAUCAAUUGAGAUGAGAUUACAGCAAACAUGCAAUAUAGAUUUAUAUGGACUGUUAUAUGUUACCAUAAUGUCCACCCACAAUUCAUGCAUAUAAUAAAUAUUAUAUACUGCCAAUAUUCAUGCAUAUUAUAUUAUCAUAGUUACAACCAUAAUCCAUGCAUAUUAAUUAUAAUAUUAUAACAAACCAUGAACCAUGCACAUGUCUAAUAUACUUAAAUUAGUCAUCAUUCAAAACAUCAUAAAAUCAAAAACCAACAUUCUCCCCUUUUUUGAUGAUGACAAUUUAUGCACCAACAUGCUCCCCCUAAGUAUAUGGCUCCCCCUAAAUUUAUGCAUAUUAAGGACAAAAUUACUUUAUCCAAAAAAAACAUCAUUGCAUAUUCCAGUAUAAUAUAGUAUCUCAAUAUCAACAUGAAUACCAAUUCAAACCAAUUUAAAUAUACCCAAAUAUCUCUCCCCCUUUGUCAUUAUCAAAAAGAAAUAAAUCAUCAAGUUAUAUCUCUCCCCCUUUGUCAUCAACAAAAAAUAAUUCAUAUCAAUUAAGUUGAAGAUAGUUAUCUCACCCCAUUUGCCAAAUUAAAAAAUAAGCAUAAAGAAUGACAAUAGAACAAGGUUAUAACAAAAUCACAUAUAGCAAGUAAACAAUAUAAUCAUACCUUUGAAAUUUGUUACCUCUAUAUCAACCUUUUAUCAAGAUUAUCACGUGUAUUAAAUAUGGAGCAUUUGACAUAAUAAAUGAUGUUAUGAACCCUUGAAAUCCAUAGAGUUUUUAUAAUAAUAUAUCUAAUUAAAACUCUAUUUAAACAACAACAUGAGGUACUUACAUAUUCUACCAAAUAAUUUAUAGGUAACUUAUUCUCUCAAAGUAAAGAAUCAUCCAUCUCCUUUUUGAUCUUGAGACACCUACAAACAAAUAGUCUCUAUCUUUUUGGUACCCAAAUCUUCUUGGGUCCUUUUGGGUUAGUAGCAUAUAAAUCACUUUUCUUUACCCAAAUUUGUUUUAUUCUAAUUUUAUUGCAAUUAGAAUCAAAAUGACCUUUAAAACCACAUUUUUUACAAGUAACAAAUGGUGAACAAUAAAGUGGUUUAUGCCUUGAUUUACUAUUAAUCAUUCUAAUAUUAUUAUUAGUCCUAUUUUCCACAUUUUUAAUAAGAUUAUACCCAAUCCCUUGUUUAUCAAGACUGGACCUUUGUGCACCUAACAUAACAUUUAGGUUCUCUUCUCCUUGCACAAAUUUAGCAAGAUCAUUUUUUAAAGAUGCUAUUUCUGCAUUUAUUACAUUAUCAUCAUGUUGCAUAUUCAUAAUUUUUCCAUCAUUAAAAGCAUCUAUGCAUACAUCUCUCAUUUUUAAUUUUUCUUUUAAAAUUUGAUUUUCAUUUUUAAGAUAUUCAUUUUCUUUUCUUUCUUCAAUAAGUGACUUAACUCCAUUCAUUAGCUCAUUUACGCAGUUCUUAAAAUAAGCAGUUUUCUUUUUAAGCCUUUGAUUUUCAUUUUGUAAAGCAAUAUAAUCAGGCAUAGAUAUUUCAAAAUUUUCAUGAAAAUUCGUUACCUCAAGUUGAUCAUCAUCUUCUACUCCCAUGAAACAUAAUUGGCCAAUUUCUUCAUCUUGUUCUGUUUUGGACUUGUUCAUUGGAGUUGAAAUACCUUCUUGAUUCUUCCUUUGUUUCUUUCUUUGAAGUAGUCUCUCGAGUUUUCUUGAGAGCAUUUCAAUUUCUUCAUCAAAAUCUUCAUCAUUGCCUUCUAUGUAGCUUUCAGCCUGUAGAGCCAAGGUCUUCUUCUUAGGUGCCUCAUCUUCUUCAUCGUACAAUUUUAAUUGGUUUUCAAACUCUUCAAGUUCUCCAAAUGAGGUAAGAGUUUCCAUUGUGCUAAUUGUGACUAAGUCUUGAAGUGUAGUAACCUUUGGAGCGAAUCGCUUUGGCAUGACUCUGAGAAGCUUUCGAUUGAUUUCCUUUUGAUCAAUCUUUCUUCCGAGCAUGCUUAGAGAAUUCAUUAGAGUAAGGAACCUUGCUUGUGAAUCUCUAAUUGAUUCAUUUUUCUCUAAUUUGAAUAGUUCGUAUUCGUGCAUUAGCAUGCUCAGCUUGACCUCCUUCACUUUAGUAGUACCUUCAUGGCUCAUGAUGACUGUGUCCCAAAUUUCCUUAGCCGUAGUACAAGAAGAUACUUUAUCUAUCUCUGACUGAACCAUGCUACUUAAAAGUGUAUUCAUGGCCUUGGAAUUAUAAGAUACCAUAUACAAUUCAUUUGAGUCCAUUUCCAUAAGAUUCUUUGGCUUGCCAUCAUCAUGUCGCGGAAUGACUGGUCCAUUUUCGACUACCCACCAUUCCCAUGGGUCACGGUUCAGAUAGAUCUUCAUUUUGAACUUCCAAAAAUUGAAGUUUUCACUUCCGAGCAACAACGGUGACCUACUUGUGGACUGACCUUCUUGAAAGUUUAGGUGUGCCAUAGGAUCUUCCCCUACGUCCUGCAACGAUCAAUAUUAGUAGAGCCUUGCUUUGAUACCAAAUGUAAUUCUAUGUAUGUGCACACCUAGAGGGGGGGGGGUGAAUAGGUGUUUAAGCUUAAAGUGAUAAAUAGUGAAAACUUUUUGAAAUUUUCUGCUACAGGUAUAAUUCAGACAGCUACACCUGUCUGUUUUAGCUUAUGUUCUUCGUUUCUUAUUAUCAGAUAGCUAAACCUGUCUGCUUUAGUGUCUGGAUAGUGGCGUGAAUAACAAAGAAGUGCAGAACGUGAAUGACAGUUAAAGAGAUAAACGGAAGUAAAAAUCACACCAAGAUUUUUACGUGGUUCGGACCCUAUCCUCUAUCUAGUGGCCUAAUCCACGUCCAAUACCAAUUAGUAUUGGAGACUCUAUUUAUUUCAAUUUAACUUAGUUAAAUACAAAAUAACUCCCUGUUUGAGAAAGCUUUCCGUUGGACACGACUGCCCCUUCUUGCACCUCUGCAAUCCUUCUCACCACUGAGACCUCUGCACUACUGCAGCCUUGAAAGCUUGUCUACAAACAGAUCCUAUCAACUCUAGAUAGACCAAGCCGAUACACGGCUUAAACUAAGAACAAGGAUAUUGAUUACCGACUAUCAAGUUUCCAGCAUAAUACAAUUUAAGAACAAUACAAAAGGGUUGCUGGAAAGAAACUCAGAAUCGCUAUUGAAUAGAACGUAUGAGACUAAUUAAAGCUUUUCCAAGUUCCGUCUUCCAAUAGCCGAGCAAGAGAGAUAUAUAUAGUAGAG